GACGAACGCUGGCGGCGUGCUUAACACAUGCAAGUCGAACGGAAAGGCCCCUUUGGGGGUCCUCGAGUGGCGAACGGGUGAGUAACACGUGAGUAACCUGCCCUUGACUUCGGGAUAACUUCAGGAAACUGGGGCUAAUACCGGAUAGGAAUCCUUGCUGCAUGGUGGGGGUUGGAAAGCUUCGGCGGUUUUGGAUGGACUCGCGGCUUAUCAGCUUGUUGGUGGGGUAGUGGCUUACCAAGGCUUUGACGGGUAGCCGGCCUGAGAGGGCGACCGGCCACAUUGGGACUGAGAGACGGCCCAGACUCCUACGGGAGGCAGCAGUGGGGAAUAUUGCACAAUGGGCGGAAGCCUGAUGCAGCAACGCCGCGUGCGGGAGGACGGCCUUCGGGUUGUAAACCGCUUUCAGCAGGGGCGAAGCUUGUGGUGACGGUACCUGCAGAAGAAGCACCGGCUAACUACGUG
rnacentral:rRNA from 1 species